AUUCCAUCCAAUCAGAGUUAAAAUUACUUGAGAACUCGUAAUGGAUUUUAGAAGAUUUCUCGAUUUGUUCCAGACAUAACCUAAAACUAUUGUUGUUUGUUGUUUUAUUAUUCCCCAGUCAAGUGCACAAACAUCACCUCUUUUAUUUAUCCAUGGAGAUGGAGCUAGUCUGAUUUUUAUUCGCAAAUCAAAAUAGCAGGGACCAAGCAGCUAAAUAGCUUGACAAACCAUCAUUGCUCCCCUUGUUUUAGUCCUUCUAUUAGCCUCUUGCUACACUCUCCUUUCUCUAUUUCUUGACUGCAAGUUGAUAGGGUUGUCUGUGUACUGUGAGCAAGAUGAACAGAUUUUCGUUACAUGCAUUUUCAUUCUUUGUUGCUUUCCUUAUAAAAAAUUCAGGGGAAGAUUGCAGAAGGACUUGCACACCUGCGAAGAAUUGGAAAUUUGAAAGAGCCACAUGAACCCAAGAGCAAAGCCCAUUAUUAUGAUGGAUUGAUAUUGCUGGCUAGUGCUCUAUACAAUGAAGGUUGCAAGGACGAGGCAGUGAAGUAUUUGCGUUUGGCUGCUGCUUUUGAUCCCGCUUACAAUGAGUUACUCGAACAGUGUAAAAA